rnacentral:rRNA from 1 species
AUUGAACGCUGGCGGAAUGCUUUACACAUGCAAGUCGAACGGCAGCACGGGUGCUUGCACCUGGUGGCGAGUGGCGAACGGGUGAGUAAUAUAUCGGAACGUAUCCAAUAAUGGGGGAUAACUAAUCGAAAGGUUGGCUAAUACCGCAUACGCCCUGAGGGGGAAAGCUGGGGAUCUUCGGACCUAGCGUUAAUGGAGCGGCCGAUAUCUGAUUAGCUAGUUGGUGAGGUAAAAGCUCACCAAGGCGACGAUCAGUAGCUGGUCUGAGAGGACGACCAGCCACACUGGAACUGAGACACGGUCCAGACUCCUACGGGAGGCAGCAGUGGGGAAUUUUGGACAAUGGGGGCAACCCUGAUUCAGCCAUUCCGCGUGAGUGAAGAAGGCCUUCGGGUUGUAAAGCUCUUUCGCAAGGGAAGAAAACUUAGUCUCUAACAUAGACUGAGGUUGACGGUACCUUGAUAAGAAGCACCGGCUAACUACGUGCCAGCCGCCGCCGUAA